rnacentral:tRNA from 3 species
GCCCAGGUGAUGAAAUUGGUAGACAUGAGGGACUUAAAAUCCCUUGCCUAUUGUUGGCGUACGGGUUCGAUUCCCGUCCUGGGCA